UACGGGGGGUGCGAGCGUUGUCCGGAAUCACUGGGCGUAAAGGGCGCGUAGGUGGCGUGAUAAGGGUGUGGUGAAAGCCCGGGGCUCAACCCCGGGUCUGCCAUGCCGACUGUCAGGCUAGAGUACUGUAGGGGCAGGCGGAAUUCCGGGUGUAGCGGUGGAAUGCGUAGAGAUCCGGAGGAACACCGGUGGCGAAGGCGGCCCGCUGGGACAGAGCUGACGCUGAGGUGCGAAAGCGUGGGGAGCAAACAGG
rnacentral:rRNA from 1 species